CUUAAAUUCCUUAGGUUUUGUUGGAUUACGGAUAUCCUGACCUUGUAUUUUUAAAAAGCAGAAAAAAUAUAAAUGCCGCUUAUCAGUUUUGAUGUUGUUUUUUUUUUUCAUCCGACCAUAGUUAAUUAGGAACUCACGUAUUAGUAUUAAUUAUUUUCUAAUUAAGACACCUAAAAAUAUAAAAUGUGCGAGAAUAUUAAAGUCAGGCGCCUGACCACAGUUAAAUGUGACAAAACGUUUUAAAACGUGUGACUGUGCAUGGGCUGACCAUGGAUAAUAAAAUAAAUGGAUAGGAAACUAGCUGACGUGACCUACUGUUUUCAAUGGGCUGAUGGCG